CGGCUGCUGCCCCCCCUGCGCUCGUCCGCCAGCCGCCACACCUUAAGUCCUCAAGCCGAAGCUCUCUUGCCGCUGCGCGUCCACCCUCCUCCGCCUGGAGCUUCAAGUCACUGCGCCACUGGAGAUGGGUGUGUUAAACAUCAGGAUGGACCAGAGGCUACUGCACUGUAGACAUUGCCACCGACGCCGACACCCACCCCUCCCGCCCGCCGACACUCACUGCUUUUUAUUGG